rnacentral:rRNA from 1 species
GACGAACGCUGGCGGCGUGCUUAACACAUGCAAGUCGAGCGGAAAGGCCCCUUCGGGGGUACUCGAGCGGCGAACGGGUGAGUAACACGUGAGUAAUCUGCCCUUCACUUUGGGAUAACCCCCGGAAACGGGAGCUAAUACCGGAUACGACCUUCAACCGCAUGGUUUGUUGGUGGAAACUUUUUUGGGUGGGGGAUGUGCUCGCGGCCUACCAGCUUGUUGGUGGGGUAAUGGCCUACCAAGGCUUUGACGGGUAGCCGGCCUGAGAGGGUGACCGGCCACACUGGGACUGAGACACGGCCCAGACUCCUACGGGAGGCAGCAGUGGGGAAUAUUGGACAAUGGGCGGAAGCCUGAUCCAGCAACGCCGCGUGAGGGAUGACGGCCUUCGGGUUGUAAACCUCUUUCAGCACCGACGAAGCGCAAGUGACGGUAGGUGCAGAAGAAGGACCGGCCAACUACGUGCCAGCCGCCGCGGUAAAAC